rnacentral:rRNA from 1 species
CGGCGUCGAGCGGCGGACGGGUGAGUAAUGCCUAGGAAAUUGCCCUGAUGUGGGGGAUAACCAUUGGAAACGAUGGCUAAUACCGCAUAAUGCCUACGGGUCAAAGAGGGGGACCUUCGGGCCUCUCGCGUCAGGAUAUGCCUAGGUGGGAUUAGCUAGUUGGUGAGGUAAUGGCUCACCAAGGCGACGAUCCCUAGCUGGUCUGAGAGGAUGAUCAGCCACACUGGAACUGAGACACGGUCCAGACUCCUACGGGAGGCAGCAGUGGGGAAUAUUGCACAAUGGGCGCAAGCCUGAUGCAGCCAUGCCGCGUGUGUGAAGAAGGCCUUCGGGUUGUAAAGCACUUUCAGUCGUGAGGAAGGUAGUGUAGUUAAUAGCUGCAUUAUUUGACGUUAGCGACAGAAGAAGCACCGGCUAACUCCGUGCCAGCAGCCGCGGUAAUACGGAGGGUGCGAGCGUUAAUCGGAAUUACUGGGCGUAAAGCGCAUGCAGGUGGUUUGUUAAGUCAGAUGUGAAAGCCCGGGGCUCAACCUCGGAAUAGCAUUUGAAACUGGCAGACUAGAGUACUGUAGAGGGGGGUAGAAUUUCAGGUGUAGCGGUGAAAUGCGUAGAGAUCUGAAGGAAUACCGGUGGCGAAGGCGGCCCCCUGGACAGAUACUGACACUCAGAUGCGAAAGCGUGGGGAGCAAACAGGAUUAGAUACCCUGGUAGUCCACGCCGUAAACGAUGUCUACUUGGAGGUUGUGGCCUUGAGCCGUGGCUUUCGGAGCUAACGCGUUAAGUAGACCGCCUGGGGGAGUACGGUCGCAAGAUUAAAACUCAAAUGAAUUGACGGGGGCCCGCACAAGCGGUGGAGCAUGUGGUUUAAUUCGAUGCAACGCGAAGAACCUUACCUACUCUUGACAUCCAGAGAACUUUCCAGAGAUGGAUUGGUGCCUUCGGGAACUCUGAGACAGGUGCUGCAUGGCUGUCGUCAGCUCGUGUUGUGAAAUGUUGGGUUAAGUCCC